rnacentral:rRNA from 1 species
GACGAACGCUGGCGGCGCGCUUAACACAUGCAAGUCGAACGGAAAGGCCUGCUUUCCCUUGUGGAUUGCGGUUACUAAAGUGGCGAAAGGGCGAGUAACACGUGAGUGAUCCGUUCCCAACAUGGGAAUAAGCCUGGGCUACUGCGUCUAAUUCCCGCCAGCACUGUAGUGUGGUGCGUGUGGUGGAAAAGGAUUUUGUUGUGGUCGGGGAUGAGCUUGCGGCCUAUCAGCUAGUGGGUGGGGUAAUGGUCUACGAGGACGGCGACGGGUAGGCGGCCCGGGAGAGUGGGCGUGCACGUGGGAACGGAGAUACGGCGCAGACUCCUACGGGAGGAAGCAGUGGGGAGUAUUGCGCGAGGGGCGGAAGACUGAGGGAGCGACGCCGCGUGGGGGAUGACGGCCUUCGGGUUGUAAACUCCGGUCGACCGCGAGGAAGCCACCUGGUUGGAAGGGGGGUGACGGUAGUGGUAGAAGAAGCACCGGCUAACUACGUG